rnacentral:rRNA from 1 species
CCCUUAGAUGUUCUGGGCUGCAUGCGCGCUACACUGAUGCAUUCAACAAGCUCUACCUUGGCCGAGAGGCCUGGGAAAUCUUUCAAAUAUGUAUCGUGAUAGGGAUAGAUUAUUGCAAUUAUUAAUCUUGAACGAGGAAUUCCUAGUAAAUGCAGAUCAUCAUUCUGCGUUGAUUACGUCCCUGCCCUUUGUACACACCGCCCGUCGCACCUACCGAUUGAAUGAUCCGGUGAAGCCUCGGGAUUGUGCCCAGAGAACUUUAUUGUGAUUUGGGUGUGAGAACUUGUCUAAACCUUAUCAUUUAGAGGAAGGUGAAGUCGUAACA